CUGGGAAUCCGGCGUGCCAGUAGUGGGCCUCAAAUCCCCUGGCUCGAGUAUUUUCCUCAGCAGACUGGGCUUCAUGGAGUUCGGAUUCCUCCUCAGGAAAGUCCCCGGUGUCACGGCUCUUCCAGGCCCAGCGGUGUCGAACUCGCUGGGCCGAUGUUGCUCCGUUGUGAUUGUGGCGGCACUUUAUCAGGCUCCCCUAUUACAGAUACAGACAGACCAG